UUUUAACAUUGCAAAAUCAUACUCCCAAGCUGUAUACCUGCCUAACAUGGAAAAAUGCUUUCAGUUUUAUACCCUUUAGAAAUCACCACUGUAUUGUUAUAUAUUCCCUGCUGUCUUUAAUGAUCACCGAGCUGCACUUUUUACUCCUCAAAUCUCCUCAUCCAUUAUUUCCUUAAAUCUUAGAGUCAAGUUUUAACCUUGCGUUCCCUAUACCCGUGCAUUAAGAGGAGACACAACCCCAGUCUUUCCAAAUUAACAAAACCCAGCUCUUCUGUGGGAACGGAACGAUGAGCCUUCCUCCCCACCUAGUGGUUAGAUCUCAGACCAACACAAAACACGAGUAAAUAUUGUAUUCCACUAUAUUAGGGUCAUAAGUGGCAUAAUGUAUCUAAUU